UGCUUAGGGCUACACACGUGCUACAAUGGGUAGUACAGAGGGUUGCCAAGCCGUAAGGUGGAGCUAAUCCCUUAAAGCUACUCUCAGUUCGGAUUGUAGGCUGAAACUCGCCUACAUGAAGCUGGAGUUACUAGUAAUCGCAGAUCAGAAUGCUGCGGUGAAUGCGUUCCCGGGUCUUGUACACACCGCCCGUCACACCACGGGAGUUGGAGACGCCCGAAGCCGAUUAUCUAACCUUUUGGAAGAAGUCGUCGAAGGUGGAAUCAAUAACUGGGGUGAAGUCGUAACAAGGUAGCCGUAUCGGAAGGUGCGGCUGGAUCACCUCCUUUCUAAGGAGA
rnacentral:rRNA from 1 species